rnacentral:rRNA from 1 species
UACGUAGGGAGCAAGCGUUUGUUCGGAAUUACUGGGCGUAAAGGGCUCGUAGGCGGCCAACUAAGUCAGACGUGAAAUCCCUCGGCUUAACCGGGGAACUGCGUCUGAUACUGGAUGGCUUGAGUUUGGGAGAGGGAUGCGGAAUUCCAGGUGUAGCGGUGAAAUGCGUAGAUAUCUGGAGGAACACCGGUGGCGAAGGCGGCAUCCUGGACCAACACUGACGCUGAUGAGCGAAAGCCAGGGGAGCAAACGGG